rnacentral:rRNA from 1 species
UAACUGUGGUAAUUCUAGAGCUAAUACAUGCACCAAAGCUCCAAUCUUCCCAGAGCGGAGCGCAUUUGUUCGCCACAAAACCAAGCGCCUUCGGGCGUCCAGUGUUGACUCAGAACAACUAAGCUGAUCGCACGGUCUUGUACCGGCGACGUGUCUUUCAAGUGUCUGCCUUAUCAACUUUCGAUGGUAGUGUACCUGACUACCAUGGUGAUGACGGGUAACGGAGGAUAAGGGUUCGACUCCGGAGAAGGGGCCUGAGAAAUGGCCACACGUCUAAGGAUGGCAGCAGGCGCGCAAAUUACCCACUCUCAACAUGAGGAGGUAGUGACGAGAAAUAACGAGACCGAUCUCUUAUGAGGCCGGUCAUCGGAAUGGGUACAAUUUAAACCCUUUAACGAGUAUCUAUGAGAGGGCAAGUCUGGUGCCAGCAGCCGCGGUAAUUCCAGCUCUCAAAAUGCAUAGAAUUAUUGCUGCGGUUAAAAAGCUCGUAGUUGGAUCUGUGCUAGCCGGCCGGUCCACCCACUGGGUGUGCACUGGUUCGGUUGGCUUUUCUGCCGGUCUCUCCCCGGCGUUGGCCUUCACUGGUCGGCGUCGGUGGGCUGGCGAGUUUACUUUGAACAAAUCAGAGUGCUUCAAACAGGCGUUUCGCUUGAAUGUUCGUGCAUGGAAUAAUAGAAGAGGAUUUCGGUCCGAUUUUAUUGGUUUUGCUGACCGAGAUAAUGGUUAACAGAGACAAACGGGGCCAUUCGUAUUGCUACGUGAGAGG